UCAUAUUUUAAAUUGUUAAAUAUGACUUUCCUUUACCAUUUCUUUUGCUCUCUUUAUUCAAUCUCUUUUCGUCAUUUCAAAUUUCUUACAUGUACCCAAAAAUAUUAUAGAAACCAUAACCAAUAACUAAUUUCUUUGACAGAUAAGAGAAUUUUUUUUUUUUACAUGAUUUUCAAUGUAUAAAAAGUCCAUGAGAUUGUGGUAGGCGUCGGUGAAAAAGUCAAACUGAGGCUGCUACGUAGUUCAUUAGUUGAUCUGUUCUGACUUGUGCCAUCAGCAUGAAAAGUAUGCAUCACCUUCUGUAACGGUUCCCCACUUUGCAAAUUUCUUGCAGGACUUGUUCCAUUCAACAAACGGAGAACCAGUCUUGCAGGACUUGUUCCGUUCAGUAACCCGAGACUGGUGCCAACGGCAUGAAAACUAUCCAUCCAAUAAAAAUUCUUUCUUGCAGGACUGGUUCCAUGAAUGAUCAGAUGUACAAGUACUGGUAUGAUAAAACCGAAUGGGUCCAAAAGCAAAAAAAAAAAAAAAAAUUGUCUUUUUAAUGAUUCUGAGACUUAAAAAGCUGCAAGGAACAUUAAAUUAUUCAUCCUCUCCCUGGUUGCUGCUUCAAAUUUCAUCUGUUCUGUGUUCUAAAGUUAGCUAAACCAACUCACCAGUCUGCAGUCUGCACAGACUAGUUCUAUCUUUCAACCUGGCUACAUCCACCGGUCCAACCUGAUCUGAUCUUUUUUUUUUUUUGAAGAGGGACCUGGGGGGCAUAAAUGAUUCAAUAUCAAACACUAAUCUUUUAAAUAAGGAUGUAGCUGUCAGCAGGCAGAUGGACACAUAGGCUGCAUGAAUUUUAAGACGUAGUCACAAAUUGCUGUGCCCUCAAAUGCCCCAUUAUGCCUUGUUUUUAGUGUUUUCUGUUCUUGGCUUAUCUAGCAACACUGAAUAAGUUCAUAUUCAGGGAACUGUAUAAAUGGCUAACUAGUAAACUCUCGGAGAAAAGCCCACCCAACUGCUGGAAGCUGGAUCCAUAGGAUUAAGCAUAUUAUUUCAGAUAUAUUAUGAAGGUGGCUACUUUUCAGAAGGUUCAAAAGCAAAGUAACAAUGAAUGUUUUGGCAGUUAUACAAAUACGCUAGACCAGAUUUGCAGCAAGUAAGACUCCAUUUGAUAAAAGGGAGGCAGAAGGAUCAAUUUGAUGUUUUAAAAUAGAAAGAAAAAUAGUAACAAUGAGAGAAAAGCUUUAAUAAAAAGAGAUAUCAACAGACUAAUAUAAUUAAAUAAAGUUAAUGAUUAAUUAAACAAAUAAUAAAAUGAAGUUUAGGUAUUUAUAUCUUUUUUAAAUUUUAAAACAAAUUAUUUUUUACCAUACAUGACUCACCUUAAA
rnacentral:lncRNA from 1 species